ensembl:snRNA U6 U6 spliceosomal RNA
GUGCUUGCUUCAGCAGCACAUAUACUAAAACUGGAAUGAUACAGAGAUUAGCACCGCCCCUGUGCAAAGAUGAUACACAAAUUCGGGAAGCGUUCCAUAUUUUU